GUAGUACGGCGAGUGAAGAGGGAAGAGCUCAAAUUUGAAAGCUGGUACCUUCGGUAUCCGCGUUGUAACCUCGAGACACGUUUUCCGUGCGGCGCUAUGGACAAGUUCCUUGGAACAGGACAUCGUAGAGGGUGAAAAUCCCGUACUUGCCAUGGAUGUACCGUGCUUUGCGAUACGUGCUCUAAGAGUCGAGUUGUUUGGGAUUGCAGCUCAAAAUGGGUGGUAGACUCCAUCUAAAGCUAAAUAUCGGGGAGAGACCGAUAGCGAACAAGUACCGUGAGGGAAAGAUGAAAAGCACUUUGGAAAGAGAGUUAAAAGUACGUGAAAUUGUCGAAAGGGAAGCGCUUGAAGUCAGCCAUGCCGCUCAGGACUCAGCCUGGCUUUUGCUUGGUGUAUUUCCUGGGUAGCAAGUCAGCAUUGGUUUGGAUCGUCGGAGAAGCAUAGUCGGAAUGUGGCGCCCUCGGGCGUGUUAUAGCCUUCUAUUGGAUACGACGAUCUAGACCAAGGAACGCAGCGCGCCUUAUGGCGGGUCUUCGGACACCUUCGCGCUUAGGAUGCUGGCGUAAUGGCUUUAAGUGGCCCGUCUGAAA
rnacentral:rRNA from 1 species